AGCGAACGCUGGCGGCAGGCUUAACACAUGCAAGUCGAGCGGGCAUCCUUGUGGUGUCAGCGGCAGACGGGUGAGUAACGCGUGGGAACGUGCCCUUCGGUUCGGAAUAACUCAGGGAAACUUGAGCUAAUACCGGAUACGUGCGAGAGCAGAAAGGUUUAUCUGCCGAAGGAUCGGCCCGCGUCUGAUUGGCUAGUUGGUGAGGUUAUGGCUCACCAAGGCGACGAUCAGUAGCUGGUCUGAGAGGAUGAUCAGCCACACUGGGACUGAGACACGGCCCAGACUCCUACGGGAGGCAGCAGUGGGGAAUAUUGGACAAUGGGGGCAACCCUGAUCCAGCCAUGCCGCGUGAGUGAUGACGGCCUUAGGGUUGUAAAGCUCUUUUCUUCGGGACGAUAAUGACGGUACCGGAGGAAUAAGCCCCGGCUAACUUCGUG
rnacentral:rRNA from 1 species